GGCCCCGGGGAAAACAUGCGGGGUCGAACCUGCCCGGUGACCAACAGAAAUGUAGUUAAACGGCCGCUGUAAUGGGUGCGAAGGUAGCAAAAUCUAUUGCCCUUUAAUUGGGGGCGUGUGAAUGGUUUGACGUAGGCUAAGCUGUCUCGACAGGAGAUAGCGAACUUUACUUUCGGGUGCAAAGGCCCGAAUAAAAAGGCUGGACGAGAAGACCCUGUAGAGCUUUACCUUUAGGUUUGAUUGGGGCAAUCGGAGAGAAUAAAAACCCUCUCUAUGGGCACAGAGCGAUAGCGAGCCGCAAAGAGCGACUAGUAGAAAAAGUUACCGCAGGGAUAACAGCGUAAUCUUUCUUGAGAGUUCAUAUUGACAGAAGGGUUUGCGACCUCGAUGUUGAAUUAGGGCGUUCUUGGGGCGCAGCAGCUUCAAAGAUAGGUCUGUUCGACCUUUAAAGCCCU
rnacentral:rRNA from 1 species